GGAGCGGGCGCGCGCCCCCUCAUGGUUCCCCCCUCCCUUCCCCUCACGUUUCCCUCCCGCGGGCGGCCCUGAGGGACCGCCCGGUCCCGCCUCGCUCAGCCCCGCCAUAAACGCACCCCUGCGAGGGGAGGCUGAAAUGAUGCCGACAACACCCCCCCCCCCAUAAGGCCAUUCAGGUACUGCCUCAGUCCGUGGAUGGCGAGCCAAAAAAAAAAGCGAUAAUUGAAAUGGGGAGCACUUGGUCAACAAGAAACCCCCCCAGGAGCCCGGCACAGCCCCGCCGAGGAGCCAGACCUGCCCCUGCCCUGCAAUCCCGCACCUACGGCAAGGACUGGCUUUUCCCCACCCACAGCCAAAUUAUAAUCGGUUAUUUUUCUCAACCAGAGCUGUCCAGCUCUCCCUGCUACGUACAUCGGAGCAAAUCGCUGCCCGGCACCAUCGGCGCUCCCGCGGGCUCCAGCAAGGCUGCUGCCAGCCUGCCCAGCUCGGGGGGCCAAACCCCCCUCAAACAUUUGCACAAUCCCAAAGGACGCUUGGCACCGAGGCAUCUCUGUUUGUUUCCCGAAGAGAAUUAAGCUCUCGGGCACAUUAUUCUGCUUGGAUUAAGAGCAACUGCCCUGCCUCUUCAUCAGCAGAUAAUACCCCGGGCUGAUGCACACCCUGGUUGGGACAGCUCCAUCCUCCUGCUGAGCCCUCACUGCUACUGACCUAGCAAGGACCACUCACACUGAGGGCACUUGUGCUAAACGGGAGCUAAAACCCCUCAAUUUUCUGAAAAAUUGACAUGCUCCUUGCAGCUGUUUACCCCUUCUCCUUUAUAUGUCUAGGACACUCAACUCAAAAAGAAUGGGGGCAGCUCCCCUUUGCCUCAGUGUUGAGACUGCUUGGAAAAAGCUCUUUAAAUGAGAGGGAAGACAGGUAUUUUCGCCUCAAAUCUGGACUAUCUGGUGGUUUCCUUGGACCCAGCUGAGCACAUCUGAUUAAAAGACACAAGCUGGGAAAGGUCUGGCGGCUGCAAGUUGCUGCUCCUACACUGGGGACAGGCAGUUCCCUUGAAACGUGCCCUGAAGCUGACUUCACUCCCCACAGCAAUAAAUUAACACGUUUUAAUAGCCUGGGCUGUGCACAGGAGGAGCCUCAGAUGUCUGGUGCUGACCCACCACAACUGCUGCUGCUCACCCAGGGCUGGGCUGAAAACAGAUGAGAAACACGAGCCCAAAGGGCUUGGAGGAGAAAACCACCCAGCAAAGAAAACACAAUUUUUGGAUGGCAGCAACUUCUUGCAAUUAAGAAAAAACAAGCAAACAAGCCCACAUCACUUCAUCAUCAGCUGGUUGCAGAUUAAGUGGAGGAGAGACCAGGGCAACAAAAACUUCGCAUCAAAGCAGUGAUUUAACACCACACAGCUCAUCAUCCACUGCACUGGGAUCACCAGAUGAUCCCCAACUCCAUCUGCCAGCAGCUGAGACCAGAGAGCAGCAGCAUUCUGAGCCAUUAUUUCCCAGGUGAAGCAUUUAUCCCCAGGGAGCAGCACCAGUGCAAGCUGCAGACACGCUGUGCACGAGGGCAAAGGAUGCUGCUGUCACCUCUCCAGGCCCCAAACAAAUGGCUGAGAGCUCGAGUGGAAGGAGGAGCUUCAAAGCUAAAGAAAGAGAAACUAAAAACUUGGGCUAUCAGGUAUGAAAAGAGGAACUUGGUCUGUGCCAUGAGAGAGCCUGGAAAAUGCUCUGUUGGGGCAGAGGGAUUUAAGCCAAAGCUCCUUUUGUAGGAAGCAGAAAAUAAGGAUAAAAAAGGGGAAAAAAAACCCCAAACCCACCAUUAUUGUGCACAGGGAAAUACACUCAUCACCACCACACUUCUGUAAGCCACUGACUUAGCUUCUAACCUUUUCCCUCCUACACAGCCCCAAACUGACCUCUGAAAUCCCAUAGGAAGUAAUGGAAAUGUCUUAAAUUCUUCCCUAUAAGAACAGUUUGCCCCGUGCCAAGCCUGGAUUGCAAAUAUUUAAAGAACUCUCCCAGUUACAGCUGGUUUAAGUUGCUUUACAGGAGUCAUUUAGAGACUGGGAAUUAUUUUAGUAAAUCAGGAUUUCGUGGUAUUCAGCUGCUGGAUAUAGGAAUAAGGAGAGGAAUUACAUUCAUUCAUUUUAGGCACGUGUUUGGGGUUGCUGAGGCAGAGGUUGGUCCUUGCAAGCUGAAAGGCCACUGGGAGCGCUCAGAUCCUGAGGGAUUCAGUCAGUGCAAGUCAACUGGGUCAGGGAGGACGAUGCCAAACCCUGCCCUCUGCCUGGUUCAUGUGCAGGCACUCACAAGCAGCUCAGCAGGACACACUGGAGCAUCCUAAGAGCAUCCAGACAGUAGAUUAAAUCCAGCUCAAGUAAGUUCUUCACAGAACAAAUCCUUUGAAAGGUGAUCCAGCGCUCUGCAGGCGCCACAGGAUGCCCUACUGGUAGGAUUUGUUGUGAAGCAGGGCUCCCAGUUUACACCAGUGCCAGGGAAUGCCAUGCCAGGGGCAUUACUGGCACAACAACCAAAGGCACAGAGCUCUCCUCGCUCCUCCAGUGAGGAAUUCCCAGUCUAAACAAAGCAAUUGUGCAUCACGGUGCUCCCUCCCCCAGAGCAAGCGGGAUUUAAGGUGAAGAGGAAUACUCAGGAUUAUGCCAAAUUCUAGGAAAACAGAGGAAUUAAGCUGCUCAGCCGAACCCUUUAUCCACUCCUGCUCCCCAGGAGCUGGCUGGGGCUGUGUGAUGCACACGUAUGUGAACACACAACAGGCACACUCCGUUCCUGUGCCACGUUCACGCACUGCACACGAGUGACAGUCCCCAGCGCAGCAGCAGCCAUUUCACGAGAGCAAACCAGGUGGGAGGAGAGCAGGUGGCUCAGUUUUGCCAGCUCCUGGCCCUCUGCCCCUGGCUCCUCUUCCCAGUUUUGCUGUCACCGUCAGCAGUGCUGAUCUGGCCGGGAGCAGAAGGCCAGGAUGAGGAGGAAAGGAAACUGCCAUUGGACUUCUCAAGCUUUGUGUCCCUGUAACACAGUGAUCUAGAACUAAGAUAUUCCAGGUAAAUGAUUCACCCAGAAGGAAGGGAUGCCUCAGCUAAUGCUGCAUUUCUCGUGUGUCCACCCCUCUCUCCAGCACAGAAUUCACUCCUGAAAACACCUCUGAACUGCAAACUCAUGGAGUUUUCACAAAGGACUAGAACACUCUGCACUGCUUUGCUACAACAUGUGUUUGCACAGUGAAGGCAACCUGGAACAUCCCCACUCACCUGGCUCUGUAUCAACUAUUAACCAAAGAUUAAAUCUAGUCCAGCCCCAUACAACACUCUCCAAAACCAACAAUCGAUUCGUUGUUGAGGAGUUAUUAAAGAGCCAAGCAGCCCCCUCUGUAGUUAAAGAGAAUGAGUGAUUUGGGCAUUGGAAUCACACUUGGCAUCAGGGCAGUCUGCCUCAAGUUUUGCUAAAUCCAAGCUGCCUUUUCCAUCCAUUUCAGUGUGGUUUUCUACUGGAGAGUUUUCCUUUGUUGGCUGUAAUUUGUGUCCUUUGAAGGCCACUGAUGCUAAACUAAACCUCUGCAUCCUCCCCUGCAGGCAGAAGAAUCCAUUUUUUGGGCCAUUAGGUCUUUUUGGUACUGGGCUGGCUCAUGGGGAUCCCUUCUGGGGAGAUGGGGAAAGCAGAGGGUGUGGCAGGGAACUAAGUCUGCACACCCAGGAAUUCCCAUCCCACCCGGAAUCUGGUAAGUGGAUGCAAAAAGCUCCCACCGUGGGUUUCACCAGUUUGUGUGAAGUUGAUGUUCACUUGAGUCAGUGUCUUGCAGCACAGCAGACACAGAGCUCCAAGGAGAAAGAGGAAUAAAGCAGAUGAAGAGGAGCUUCAGCUCUCUGCAGGCUGUGUGCCAGUGCAGGGAAGAACAGCUCCCUGGAAAGUCAGCUUUGUUCCAGGGCUUAGAGUCAGCGUGUAAAGCACAUUUCUGCCAAGAUGCACCACUGUAGAUUAGAGGGGGAGGUCAGCUGCAGCCUGCAGGAGCCAGUGUUCACAUGGAGAAUAUUUCUGCACUGACAGAGAAAUACUUUUCCUCUCAAGUGUGGGUAGGAAGUGUCAAACGUACAAGUGGCUGCACCUAACGGAUCAAGAAAGUGCUUAAAAAAUCCUGGAGAAUAAAUGACAGGUGAUGCUGUGAAUGCAGGUAGUGCAGGCUCAGGGAAAGGCAGAAUCAGUGUGGCACAAGCCUGAGCUCCAGAAACAACCCCAGGAAUGGUCUGAACCAUGGAAAGAGCCACUGCAGAAGCCACAGCCUGUCCCACAGCACACUGACCUCCACCACCUUGAGAGCUCACCCUGCUUCCAUUAACUCACUAGGAUUUCAUCCCCUGCUGUCUCAGUGAAAAGAUGACACAACUAAAACCAGAGGAGAGGGCUUGACUGCCUCCCCCUCAUUAAGGAAUUCCAGGAGAUGCUGUGGGAACUCCCUGUGUUUGGGCAGUGGGAGGAAGUUGAAGCCCUUGCACCAGCUUCCUAAACCAAGCAGGACCAGGCGGGCUGGCCAGAGAGGCAGCUGUCCCUUCGGCGGGGGACAAGCUCAGCUAUGCAGCCUUUGUUGAAACGAACCCAAAAAUAACAGUGAGUGCCACCUAGGGACCAGCACUCGGCAGGGAGGCAGCUGAGCCACACCACAGACAGACCAUGUCGAGGCACAUUUCAAACUGCAGCCAGGAGAGGCUCUGGACUCCUGAAAUAACACCAGCAGGGUUUCUCCAACCAUCAAGCAAAAGGGAAGCAAGUCUCAAAGGAGUAACUGUUUUGAAGCGGGCUCGCAGCUGCCACGGCAUGAAUGGCUCUCCAAGAACAGUAGCAACCGCUCCACAGUGCCCACGGAGCUGGGAGGGAAAGCAUCUCUGUUUGGGCUGGUUUUCAAUGUCGGUUUUUAGGUCAACUAAAACAGCCUUUCUUAUGCAAUAGAAAGCUCACUUGCUUUGGGGUUUUUGCUGUCAUUUAAUUAGAUGGUAAUUCCGAGGGCAGCACUGCUGUUCUGAACCCCACAAUGAGAACUGUUUCACUGCCUUACAAAGCAACAAAGUGAAAACACUGAGCUAAGCCGGCCCUAGAACUUGACACCGCAUUGGGAGUCUGAUGGUCUCUUCUGAGGGGGUGGGACAAGUGAAAGGGACACCCUGCUGCCACAUUUCUAUAGACUCAUUUAGGUUGGAAAAGCCCUCCAAGAUCAUGGAGUCCAACCAUUGCCCCAGCACUGCCAAGGCCACC